UACGUAGGGUCCGAGCGUUGUCCGGAAUUAUUGGGCGUAAAGAGCUCGUAGGCGGUUUGUCGCGUCGGCUGUGAAAACUCGGGGCUCAACCCCGAGCCUGCAGUCGAUACGGGCAAACUAGAGUGUGGUAGGGGAGACUGGAAUUCCUGGUGUAGCGGUGAAAUGCGCAGAUAUCAGGAGGAACACCGGCGGCGAAGGCGGGUCUCUGGGCCAUAACUGACGCUGAGGAGCGAAAGCGUGGGGAGCGAACAGG
rnacentral:rRNA from 1 species